GUUGCUCUCUGCCCCGGGAACGUCGAGACUGGAGCGCCCGAGCCGAGCCACCUUCGCCGACCCGGAGCGCUGCGGCUCGACUCACCGCGGAGGCGCUCGGACGCGAGAAGCGAUUUCUGCUGCCUGGGGCCGUGGCGGUGGGGGCUGCGGAGCCCAGGAGCUUCCCACCCAGAGGAAAGGCAGCCUCACCCUCACUCUUCUCAGCGCGGACACGCCGCCCUCACCGCCGUGGGUGAGGGUCCUCAGGCUACACCCCACGGCUUGGAAUUCCACAACAUUGGACGAGGCACUCAGGACGGCCUGGCUCCCACAGACCCCUGCAGGAUGAACAGCCUCCCUGAGUCCAGGACGCCAGUGUCCGAAGAUUUCUGAAGGUUGUUGCAUUGAACCCAGGAAGGCUCCAGAGUGCCGGGGACUCUGGAGCCGUGCUUGAAAAUCUGCUGUCCUCUCAGGCUGCUGCCCUGCUGCUCUGCCCGCCGCUCCUGAGUCCCGUCCAAACUGCCUGGCCUGGCCUUCCAGGCCUCCAAGUGGGGCCUCCGCUUCCCUCUUCAGCUCAUCUCCCGCCCCAGCCCGGCCCUGACCCAGUGCACCGGCCACGGAAGCAUCGCAGCCUCGACUCCACGAACGCCAGGCCUGCGAACCGGGACCAUCACCGCUCCAGGAGGCGCCAAUCAAGGCCACUCGGCCGGACUCCGUGUCUGGACCUGGGCCCUGUCUUCUGCCUCCGAGUUCCCGCGCUUCCCGACUAGCCGCGGUUUCUGCACGCGCGCUUCCUCCGCUGGUACCACCCCCUCCCUUUCUGGAACUCCUUCCAGCUCAUCGUCCCAAACCCUAGCUGUCCUUCAAGGCCUGGCCCAGACGUGGCCUCCUGGACCUCCCCCUCCCCCCUGUAGUGUGUUUUGCCUUUUAUUUGUGACCUUGGGUCGCCGAGUUCCCGGGAGGGAGGGGCGAUGGGGGUCUACCGGCAGAGACGGCUAGUGGUCCCCCAGUACUCACUCUCCUCUUCCGAAAGUAAAAGAAGCUCCAAAUUU
rnacentral:lncRNA from 1 species